rnacentral:misc_RNA from 1 species
GGCCAUGCUCGCCACCCUCGGCGCACUCGCUGUUGAGUCCCUCACCGGAGUCACCUGGCAGGAUGCGGGAAAGGUUGAGCUGGUAGAUGGAUCUUCUUACCUUGGGCUACCACUGCCCUUCUCCAUCACCACGCUGAUCUGGAUCGAGGUGCUGGUCAUCGGUUAUAUCGAAUUCCAGCGCAAUGCGGAGCUGGACCCUGAGUUGAGGCUCUACCCGGGAGGCAAGUUCUUCGACCCACUCGGCUUAGCUGCCGAUCCUGAGAAGAAGGAGACUCUCCAGCUUGCUGAGAUCAAACAUGCCCGUCUCGCCAUGGUCGGCUUCCUCGGCUUUGCCGUUCAGGCUGCUGUCACGGGCAAGGGUCCCCUCAACAACUGGGCUACUCACCUCAGCGACCCACUCCACACCACCAUCUUCGAUACAUUAUCAUCAUCCUAGUCACUUAACUAUGUAUCCAUCUCUGUAUCCGCUCGUGUUUCUUCGUUAGCUGCUAUCUGUG